GCUCAAUGCUGGUGCUGUAAAAUUACAAUAUUGUGAGGUUUACGUCAAUGAUAAUGGAGAG
rnacentral:sRNA from 1 species